rnacentral:rRNA from 1 species
UACGAAGGGGGCUAGCGUUGCUCGGAAUCACUGGGCGUAAAGCGCACGUAGGCGGCUUCUUAAGUCAGGGGUGAAAUCCUGGAGCUCAACUCCAGAACUGCCUUUGAUACUGAGGAGCUUGAGUCCGGGAGAGGUGAGUGGAACUGCGAGUGUAGAGGUGAAAUUCGUAGAUAUUCGCAAGAACACCAGUGGCGAAGGCGGCUCACUGGCCCGGUACUGACACUGAGACGCGAAAGCGUGGGGAGCAAACAGG